GAUGAACGCUGGCGGCGUGCCUAAUACAUGCAAGUCGAGCGAACGGACGAGAAGCUUGCUUUUCUGAUGUUAGCGGCGGACGGGCGAGUAACACGUGGAUAACCUACCUAUAAGACUGGGAUAACUUCGGGAAACCGGAGCUAAUACCGGAUAAUAUUUUGAACCGCAUGGUUCAAAAGUGAAAGACGGUCCUGCUGUCACUUAUAGAUGGAUCCGCGCUGCAUUAGCUAGUUGGUAAGGUAACGGCUUACCAAGGCAACGAUGCAUAGCCGACCUGAGAGGGUGAUCGGCCACACUGGAACUGAGACACGGUCCAGACUCCUACGGGAGGCAGCAGUAGGGAAUCUUCCGCAAUGGGCGAAAGCCUGACGGAGCAACGCCGCGUGAGUGAUGAAGGUCUUCGGAUCGUAAAACUCUGUUAUUAGGGAAGAACAUAUGUGUAAGUAACUGUGCACAUCUUGACGGUACCUAAUCAGAAAGCCACGGCUAACUACGUG
rnacentral:rRNA from 1 species